GAACUCCUCAGCUCAAGUGAUCUGCCUGUCUUGGCCUCCCACAGUGCUGGGAGUGUAAGCCACCACACCUGUCUAAGGAAAGGGAUUUAAUGCAGGUAUUGCAAAAGUAUCAAAGUAAGCUUGACCAAGGUAGGUGGAAAUUAGUAAACAUCAAAGCACUACAACAAAAGCUUUUACAGGAUAUUGGCCUUAAAUUAACAUACAUAUGUUUGUUAACAAAUAGGCUGAUCCUUUAACUGAAAUCUUAGCGUGGUCUUUUAAGAAUGGCACUUUCAUUUUUUAACAGUUAUUUACUGAGUGCCAAGUACUGGCAAGGCUUGGAGCUAUAUUUGGGAAUCUGCCAGAGUUGGGUGGCAGGGGAGGUUACAAAGAGGUAUAAGAAAUCCCUCCUAUUGAUUAGAGGUAUAAGAAUAAAAUUAAAAAAGAAAUCCCUGAACUCUCCAGGGGAGGUUACAAAGAGGUAUGAGAAAUCCCUCCUAUUGAUAAGAGGUAUAAGAAUAAAAUUAAAAAAGAAAUCCCUGACCUCUAGAGAGUUCACAUGUUGAGAGGGGUGUGCAGUUUGUAUUUGCAGAGCAGGUUAAAUAGUCUUUUAUGAAUGGAUAAUAAAUUCUUGAUGCUCUGUAAUGCUACACUCUCACAAAUGAUCGAAAAAUUUAGAUUUGAAUUUAAAAUGUAUUUUGGGGUCGGGCGCAGUAGCUCACACCUGUAAUCCCAGCACUUUGGUAGGCUGAGGCGGGUGGAUCACGUGAGGUCAGGAGUUCGAGACUGGCCUGGCCAACAUGGCAAAAACCCCGUCUCUACUAAAAAUACAAAAAAAAAAAAAAAAUGAGCCAACGUUGAGGCAAGUGUCUGUAGUCUCAGCUACUCGGGAGGCUGAGACAUGAGAAUAGUUUGAACCUGGGAGGCAGAGGUUGCAGUGAGCCGAGAUUGCACCACUGCACUACAGCUCUGGGUGACAGAGCAAGACUCUGUCUCAAAAAUAAAAUAAAAUGUAUUUUGGUGCUAUAGGAAGACAAAUGGCACCUCAUAGCCUCACAGAGGGUGGGAUUAGCUAGGACACUUCCCAGAAAGGUUGAGGGUUUUUUGGUUGGUUUUGGGGUUUUGUUUUUGUUUUUUUUUUUUUUUUAGAGACAAGUGUCUCAGUCUGUUGCCCAGGCUGGAGUGCAAUGGCACCAUCAUAGCUCGCUGUAGCUUUGCCCUUUAGGGAUCAAGCAAUCCUCCAACCUUAGCCUUCUGCGUAGCUGGGACUACAGGUGCAUGCUGCCACACCUGGCUAAUUUUUUAAAUGUUUUGUAGAGAUGGGGUCUCCGUGUGUUGCCCGGCUGCUUCUGAAUUCCUGGACUCAAGCUGUCCUUCUGCCCCGGCCUCCCAGAAUGCUGGGAUUGAAGGUGUGAGCCACCACACCUGGCCGAGGUUGAGUUUUGAAGGACAAGUUAAAGUCGAUGGGGAAGGUGUGUUGUGUGCGGUAGAGGUGAGUAGGCUAUAGGACAUUCUGAGUGGCAGAAGGUCUGAGAUAAAGCAAUGCAUUUGGGAAAAUUGCAAAAGAGUUCUUAACAUUGUCAAGUUACAUUAACAUUGAAUAUAGUAUUAUAUUCAAAAAUACAAAAUAUUUUUGAGCAAGACAAAUUGUCCAAAACAUAAUAUUGCACUUACGUUGGGGUCCUCCUAACUCACUCUAACCAACCAUAAAAACGUUUGUUUUGCAUAAUGGCUUCAGAUUUCCAUGAUAUUUACAUUCAUAUUGAUGAAUUCACCAAAUUCACCUGCUAGGGAAUCUCUUUAUUGGGAAUUCUCCUUAUUGGGCCAUUUUAACUAUAGCACUAAAAGAUGAGCCAGUUUUUCAGAUUGAUUCAUUCACGUAGCAGCCUUUUUAUGGGCCGUCACUGCUUCAUGCUAGGGCUACAAAAACAAAUAAGAACAGGUAAUACUUGUCUAGUGAGGGAGACCUAUAAAUAAAUUAUAGUAGGUGUGCAAAAAGAGGUAUCUAAGAGGCAGAUGGUGCUGAAAAGCCUUAAGUUGAGCUUACGCUGAACCUUAAAGAUUUGACCAGAAAUUCUCCAGAGAGGAGGGAAAAAAAGUAGAGUGUUGCAGUUAGUUAGUGGGGAAAAGAAAACCUGGAAGUUUAUAGUAUUCUCUUUCUGGAACUUUAAAAUGAUUUCUUGCUGCCUAAAUUAGUUUUCUAGAACAGAAAUCUAAUCCACUACUUUAAAUAUUUCAGUAACUGCCAUCUCCUUCAAGAGAAUGUUGAAAUCUACUUUAAAUAGUUGUCUUGAGAGGAGAAAUAGUACACUAGACUCAUGUCAUCCAGAAGAAUUUUAAAGCUGUUGACCAAGUCAGAACUUUUUUCCUUUUAUUAUUAUUUUGACAAGGUGAUAAGAGGAACACAGAAAUUUGAAAAAAUGAAACAAAACAAACAAAAAAACAGAAGUAAACACUUUUUGGCACAGAAGAAUGUUAAAUUAUGUUACGGGUAAUUUGGUUUGUUAAAAAUACUAUCUUUGAGGUGGGACAUCGUGAUGCAUACCUGUAAUCCUAGCACUUUGGGAGGAUGAGGCAGGCGGAUUGCUUGAGACUAGCCUGGGCAACAUGGUGAAACCCCGUCUCUACAAAAAAUAUAAAAAUUAGCUGGGUGAGGUGGCACAGUCCCAGCUAUUAGAGAGGCUGAGAUGGGAGGUUCGCCUGAGCCUGGGAGGUCAAAGCUGCAGUGAGCUAUAAUCGUGCAGCUGCACUCCAGCCUGGGCAACAGAGUGAGACCCUGUCUCAAAAAAAAAAAAAAUCUAUAUUUGUUAUUUAGUAUUGUUCAGCAAGUAGAUUUAUGAUUAUGUACUAUGUGCAAAGAUAUUGUGCUAAGUGUAAAACAAAAAAAAAACAGAAAUUGCCUUCAGGAAAUUUUCCUGUCUUAAUGCCAAGGUGUAUAGGUUCUUUUGGGGAAGAGGGAUUGUGCAAGGUGACAUUUUUUAGUCAAGCAAUAUUGGUAACAACGUUAAGGCCUAAGGAAGGAAGAGAUAACCUCUAAGGGCUUUUUCUCUGUCAUCCCAAGUCUUUUGAGUUUCUGUGACGAAAUCCAGUCAUUUAGUUUGGAAAUAAGCUGUGAUUUGGUCUCAUGUGCCAAUUAAGGAAGGGUGGUGCACAAUAACUUGAGCAGCUUAGCUCAUUAGCAUUGGCCAGAGAGGCGGCGAUGCAUCGGAGGCAAGAGUAGGGCCCGCAAGGUGCCCGUGCCUGGCACCCCUUGCAGUUGUGCACAUACUGACCCCUGAACUAGCAUGUUUUUACCCAACUGCCCUGCCUCCAGUUCAUCCCCUGAAAUGUUCUGGAAAAGCAAAUCUCAGGGUAUAAAGAGCCGUCGUUCUGGGUUUUGUUAAUUUAAAAUAAUUCCCAGAAGCAAUCUUGCUGCUAUGAUUAUAAUAUAGCAAAAUGUUUAGCCCUCAUGCUAGGCAGGUUUUUUUGGUUUGCUUUAAUAGAGACAGGGUUUUGCCAUAUUGCCCAGGCUGGUGUCAAACUCCCUAGGGUCAAGCGAUCCACCUGCUUUGGCCUCCCAAAGUGCUGGGAUUACAGGCAUGACCCACUGCACCCAGCUAAUGCUAGGAAGUUUUUAAAAAAUAAUAAUUUCUUUUAACUCAGCAAGCUAAGAUGAAUUUCCUAGGUGAGAAAUUUCAGAUUGAUAUUGCAAGUGUUUUCUGUGCAGGGUGUCCUGAUACUUGUUGCGGCAGUAUCACUUCCCCCACCCCCAGCCUUGAGAUUGUAGGUGUUAAAGAACCUUUUAAAUCUCAGUUAAUCUUCUGUCUCCCACUCAUCUGUUCAUUUAUUCAACAAGGUACCUUUACAUGUAUCUUAGUCACCAGCCAAACUGGGCUGGUCACCAUCCCAAAUAUAUUUUGUUGUGGUCUACAGUCUAGAAACCCUCUUCCUUUGCUUUGUAAACUUUUUUGUCUCCUUUGAGAUGUGGCUCCAGUGUGCCUGGGGAGAUUUCCCUCCACCCCAAGCAAAAUUGUCUCCUUACUUCUGUAGCUCUUUGUUACUCUGCUUUCUUAUUGAAAAAGUGUUAGUCCAAAAUAGAGUCAUUCUCAUUCCCAUUUUGUAGCUGCAGAAGCAUUCUCAGUGACCAUGGAUUUUUCCAACCUCCCAGGCAGUGGAUAACAGUGAUUUUUGCACCCAGGUCUGUCUGGCUGUGAAGCCUGUGAUCCUAUGAAGGCGGAUGGGGAAGGGACGUUACCUCGGAGCUGGGUCUUCAGACUUUAGAACUGGCUUUUUCAGGUGGUGUGUGACAUUGAGCAACUCCCUGGGAUUUCUGAACACUCAGCUGUAGAAUGAUAGUGUGGCCUUUGCCUGCUUCAAGUGAGACAUAAAUGUGAACGUGUUCUUCCCCAUUACCACACAAAGAACGUGGUAUCAGUACCAGAAAUUGAUUCAACUGUCAUCAUAGCAUAGUUUAGUUUUCUGUGUAAAAGCUUUUAACUGAGGUGGGAACAUGAGACUUCGUUGUACUAUUCUUUCUACUUUGUAUGUGCUUGAAAUUUUCCACAAAAGCAAGUUUACAAAAAAGACUUCUAGCUUGCAAAGUGCCAUAUAGUUAUAUCAGAUAUAACCAUCAUAAUUCUUUCUAUAUACAUCCUUCUUAACUACUAGAUGUUUAGAAAAUGCCUUCCUCCUUUGUUGUGUCCCCUUGUGAUGACAUGGUUGGUUGUGUGGGUGCCUCGGAAAUACAGUUCUUGCCAAGGGACCCUUUUAGACAGGCAGGUCAUCAGAUGAUAGGAUCAGCUUCCACACAGGGGCUACCUUAGAAGGGUGCCCUUCUGGUGUUUCAGUAACUGAAUCCCAAAGCUUGAGAUCCACAGUGGAUUUGCUGCAGAUGAAAUUUCUCUCCACAAUAAAAUAGUGUUAGAGUGUGGUUUUAGUGUAAUGUCAGGGAACGUUCUUUAUAUACCCUUUCACAUUAUUUUUUGUUUGGUUUUGAGACAGAGUCUCGCCCUGUCGCCCAGACUGGAGUGCAGUGGCGCGAUUUUGGCUCACUGCAACCUCCAACUCUGGGUUCGAGCAAUUCUUCUGCCUCAGCCUCCAGAGUAGCUGGGAUUACAGGCAUGAGCUACCAUGCCCAGCUAAUUUUUUGCAUGUGUAAUAUUAGUAGAGACGGGGUUUCACCAUGUUGGCCAGGCUGGUCUCAAAUUCCUAACCUCAAGUGAUCUACAUACCUUGGCCUCACAAAGUGCUGGGAUUAUAGGCGUAAGCCACCAUGCCUAAAAGUUAUUUUUUGAAUAGCUAAUAUGUGCACAUGGUACAGAAUUCUUACUGUGCAAAUAAGACCCCCCAGCCUGUCCUGCAUCCCGAAGCGCCUCUCCCCAGAAACAGUCAUGGUCUCCAGUCUCUGGGGUAACCUUCCAGAGGGUAGUAUGUGUUGAUGGGAGCAUAUAGGUCUUUGGGUUUUCGUUGUUUUUUGUUUUUUGGGGUUUUUUUGUUUGUUUGUUUUUAAGGACUGCAUGCUGUCCACACAGUUUACAUGUUGUGUGUUUUCUAUCUUGAGUACUGUCAGUACUUACAGAGCUGCUACUUCAGCCUUCAUACACAUACUGUAAUUUAUAUACCUUUUUUCCUUUCGAUGGACGUUUAGAUUGUGAUAGCAAAAACUUAGGAAAGAACAUUGGCAAUAAAUCUUUUUUAUUUAUUUAAUUUUAUUAUUAUUAUUUUUGAGACAGUGUC